rnacentral:rRNA from 1 species
GAUGAACGCUGGCGGCGUGCCUAAUACAUGCAAGUCGAGCGAAAACACGAGGAGCUUUCUCCCCUGACGUUGGCGGCGGACGGGUGAGUAACACGUGGAUAACCUACCUCUAAGACUGGGAUGAUAACGGGGGACAGGAUCUACUAACGGAUAAUAUAUCGAACCGCAUGGUUCAAUAGUUAAAGACGCUUUUGGUGUCACUAAUAGACGAAUCCGGGUAGCAUUAGUUACUGGGUAAGGUAACGGCUUAGCAAGGCUACGAUGCGUAGCCGACAUGAGAGGGUGAUCGGCCACACUGGAACUGAGACACGGCCCAGACUCCUACGGGAGGCAGCAGUAGGGAAUCUUCCGCAAUGGGCGAAAGCUUGACGCAGCAACACCGCGUGAGUGAUGAAGGUCUUCGGAUCGUAAAGCUCUGUUGUUAGGAAAGAAAAAAAGCAUGUGUAACCCUGCCCGUCUUGACGGUACCUAAAGAAUAAGCCCCGGCUAACUACGUG